GAUGAACGCUAGCGACAGGCCUAACACAUGCAAGUCGAGGGGCAGCACGAAGUAAGCUUGCUUACUUUGGUGGCGACCGGCGCACGGGUGCGUAACAGGUGUGCAAUCUGUCCAUAGUCGGGGAAUAGCCCAGCGAAAGUUGGAUUAAUGCUCCAUGUGAGUUUUAGAGGCAUCUCUUUAAUUUGAAACGUAAGGAUUAUGGGUGAGCACGCUUCUGAUUAGGUAGUUGGUGAGGUAACGGCUCACCAAGCCGACGAUCAGUAGGGGUUCUGAGAGGAAGGUCCCCCACAUUGGAACUGAGACACGGUCCAAACUCCUACGGGAGGCAGCAGUGAGGAAUAUUGGUCAAUGGGCGAAAGCCUGAACCAGCCAAGUCGCGUGAAGGAUGAAGGUUCUAUGGAUUGUAAACUUCUUUUGUCUGAGGGUAAAAAAGCGGACGUGUCCGUUCUUGCAAGUAUCAGACGAAUAAGCAUCGGCUAACUCCGUGCCAGCAGCCGCGGUAAAAC
rnacentral:rRNA from 1 species